UACGUAGGGUGCAAGCGUUAAUCGGAAUUACUGGGCGUAAAGCGUGCGCAGGCGGUUGUGGAAGACAGGUGUGAAAUCCCCGGGCUUAACCUGGGAACUGCAUUUGUGACUGCACAGCUGGAGUGCGGCAGAGGGGGAUGGAAUUCCGCGUGUAGCAGUGAAAUGCGUAGAUAUGCGGAGGAACACCGAUGGCGAAGGCAAUCCCCUGGGCCUGCACUGACGCUCAUGCACGAAAGCGUGGGGAGCAAACAGG
rnacentral:rRNA from 1 species